CCAGGAUGUGGGUUCCGGUUCACCCAAUCUGUUUCUCUACGUAGAUCAUGUGUAAUGAUAAACAGAUGAAGAUCAUUUCUAGGCUCGAUCCUUGCCUCUUAAUUUCGACAUAGUGAAACAAUUUGCUGCAAUUCUUAGUCUCGCAGAAGAUGAAAAACAAUCAGUACCCUGAAUUUGUCAGGAAGGAAGGAUGGGGAGGGGGGGGGGGGGGGGGGUACCAUGAAAUAACAGGUGAUGGGAAAAAUUUGAACGAAAGGCCCAUUUUGGGACAAUAUAUUGGCACGAAUGAUCCUAUCAUUUUCUCCAGAAUACAAUGCAAAUUCUCUUUUAUUUAUGACGGAUAUAAGA